UUGACAGAAGAGAGUGAGCACACAAAGGCACAUGUAUAAGCGCAUACUUUGCUUUUGCGUGCUCACUUCUCUUUCUGUCAG
rfam:Gossypium raimondii Chr01_contig_56, whole genome shotgun sequence.